rnacentral:tRNA from 1 species
GCCCCUGUAGCUCAGUGGAUAGAGCGUCGGUUUCCUAAACCGUGCGUCGCAGGUUCGAUUCCUGCCAGGGGCG